CACCGGGAAUAGCACCGCUCUUAACCACCAGGAGAAACCGAGAAAGUCGCACUCGCUGUUGCGAAGCAGACACACAACAUGGAUCGGGCAAAUGCAAAUACCCGUGUCGGAACUUCUGGAUUGGGAAUCUGGCUACGGAAGUCCGGUGAUGCCAACCUCCUGCAAACCCCCAGGACCAAGCGCCGAACCUGGGGUGAUAGGGCAUUUUCAGUUGCUGCCCCCUCCCUGUGGAACACACUCCCUAACCACAUCAAAAAAGAUGCCCCCACACUCCCAUCCUUCAUCUUUCCCCAGCUAACCCCCCACCCCCUGUGUUGUUUUUACUGUUUUUACUUUUAGACGCAAUUUCUUUCCUUUCACCUAAUAAAGUUUUAUGUCUCUUUCUUUUUGUUUCCCCAUGUAAAGCAACUUUGAGUACCUAGAAAAGUUCUAUAUAAAUAUGAGGUAUUAUUAUUAUUAUUAUUUAAAGGAAGAGACGGUACAUUUGAACAGUAGUACAGUAUAGAUUUUAAGUGUGUGUGUUUGUUGGGGGGGGGGGGGGCAGUCCACAGCUUCGGCUAUGUCAUUGGCUAGUUAUUACACAGAAGUCGAAAUCCUGGAACUUGAGUUUAUUUUUUACCUUAAAAGUUGGCUAAUUUAUCUGUGAAUGUUAUGGUGCAAAAAGGUUUCAGUGCAAAGUGAGUUUUUUUAACUGUUUGAUAUUGUCUACCUGAAAAAUAGUUUAACCAAAAGCAGGUUCGCCCUGCGUCAGAUUUCUGAAGAGGGCGCUCUUACCUUACUGACUGCCGUAGUCCCUGCAGUCAGACUGUGUGUGUUUCAAAACAACAGUAGUUUGAUGCAUGGGAAAUGGGCCUCUACCGGCAUGUCAUUUUAUUUUAAUUUUAUUUUUUUGCAGCUUCUGGAAUAGCGCGCAAUCGAGUUGCAAAAAAAAGUUAUGCAAAUUUGAUAAAUUUGCUUUGUCUUUGAAUUAUUACCUUCCAGAUGGUUAGUUUUAGUGGCCAGGUGUCCACGCUUUUACCAAUUAGGAGCCUAUUGAGUCACCUCAGUCUUUAAUUUCAAGUUUUGCAUUUUUAUGCAAUUGUUUGCGAUAUAACACAAGCAAAAUAGCAUGGGGAUUUUAUUCUUCAUAGCAUGCAUUGCUGUUUCUGACAAUGUGGCUUAAGAGGGUAAAAAAUCCCUCUACA